UACGUAGGGUGCGAGCGUUAAUCGGAAUUACUGGGCGUAAAGCGUGCGCAGGCGGUUCGUUGUGUCCGAUGUGAAGGCCCCGGGCUCAACCUGGGAAUGGCAUUGGAAACUGGCGGACUCGAGUGUGGCAGAGGGGGGUGGAAUUCCGCGUGUAGCAGUGAAAUGCGUAGAGAUGCGGAGGAACACCGAUGGCGAAGGCAGCCCGCUGGGCUAACACUGACGCUCAGGCACGAAAGCGUGGGGAGCAAACAGG
rnacentral:rRNA from 1 species